GGGCCCGCACAAGCGGUGGAGCAUGUGGUUUAAUUCGAUGCAACGCGAAGAACCUUACCAGGGUUUGACAUAGUACGAAGUUUUUUGAAAAAAACCACCUUCGGGAACGUACAUACAGGUGGUGCAUGGCUGUCGUCAGCUCGUGUCGUGAGAUGUUGGGUUAAGUCCCGCAACGAGCGUAACCCUUGUUUUUAGUUGCCUUUCGAGGAUAUUUAGAAAGACUGCCGAUUAUAAAUCGGAGGAAGGUAAGGACGACGUCAAGUCAUCAUGCCCCUUACACUCUGGGCUACACACGUGCUACAAUGGUAGUGACAAUGGGUUAAUCCCAAAAAGCUAUCUCA
rnacentral:rRNA from 1 species